rnacentral:rRNA from 1 species
AUUAAGGUCCUCUGGAUUGUAAACUUCUUUUAUAUGGGACGAAAAAAGGUCUUUCUAGAUCACUUGACGGUACCAUAUGAAUAAGCACCGGCUAACUCCGUGCCAGCAGCCGCGGUAAUACGGAGGGUGCAAGCGUUAUCCGGAUUCACUGGGUUUAAAGGGUGCGUAGGCGGGUAGGUAAGUCAGUGGUGAAAUCCUGGAGCUCAACUCCAGAACUGCCAUUGAUACUAUCUAUCUUGAAUAUUGUGGAGGUAAGCGGAAUAUGUCAUGUAGCGGUGAAAUGCUUAGAUAUGACAUAGAACACCCAUUGCGAAGGCAGCUUACUACGCAUAUAUUGACGC